rnacentral:rRNA from 1 species
UUAAACUGAAGAGUUUGAUCAUGGCUCAGAUUGAACGCUGGCGGCAGGCUUAACACAUGCAAGUCGAGCGGGGAAGGUUGCUUCGGUAACUGACCUAGCGGCGGACGGGUGAGUAAUGCUUAGGAAUCUGCCUAUUAGUGG